rnacentral:rRNA from 1 species
AUUGAACGCUGGCGGCAGGCCUAACACAUGCAAGUCGAACGAGUGGCGGACGGGUGAGUAAUGUCUGGGAAACUGCCUGAUGGAGGGGGAUAACUACUGGAAACGGUAGCUAAUACCGCAUACCAUCGGAUGUGCCCAGAUGGGAUUAGCUAGUAGGUGGGGUAACGGCUCACCUAGGCGACGAUCCCUAGCUGGUCUGAGAGGAUGACAAGCCACACUGGAAUUGGAACACGGUCCAGACCCCUACGGGGGGAAGAAGUGGGGAAUAUUGAACAAUGGGCGAAAGCCUGAUGCACCCAUGCCGCGUGUAUGAAGAAGGCCUUCGGGUUGUAAAGUACUUUCAGCGGGAAGGCGUUACCCGCAGAAGAAGCACCGGCUAACUCCGUGCCAGCGGCCGCGUAAUUC